rnacentral:snRNA from 1 species
GUGCUUACUUUGGCAGCACAUAUAGUAAAAUUAUAAUGGUACAAAAAGAUUAAUAUGGCACCUGUGCAAGGAUGACAUGCAAAUUUGUGAAGCAUUACUCAUUUUU